rnacentral:rRNA from 1 species
GUGCCAGCAGCCGCGGUAAUACGGAGGAUCCAAGCGUUAUCCGGAAUCAUUGGGUUUAAAGGGUCCGUAGGCGGUCUUGUAAGUCAGUGGUGAAAGCCCAUCGCUCAACGAUGGAACGGCCAUUGAUACUGCAGGACUUGAAUUAUUGGGAAGUAACUAGAAUAUGUAGUGUAGCGGUGAAAUGCUUAGAGAUUACAUGGAAUACCAAUUGCGAAGGCAGGUUACUACCAAUUUAUUGACGCUGAUGGACGAAAGCGUGGGUAGCGAACAGGAUUAGAUACCCUGGUAGUCCACGCCGUAAACGAUGGAUACUAGCUGUUGGGGGCAACUUCAGUGGCUAAGCGAAAGUGAUAAGUAUCCCACCUGGGGAGUACGUUCGCAAGAAUGAAACUCAAAGGAAUUGGCGG